rnacentral:miRNA from 1 species
AGGCCGAGUCGUCUGCAUUAUU